CAGAACGAACGCUGGCGGCAUGCCUAACACAUGCAAGUCGAACGAACCCGUUCGGGGUUAGUGGCGCACGGGUGCGUAACACGUGGGAAUCUGCCCUUUGCUUCGGAAUAACAGUUAGAAAUGACUGCUAAUACCGGAUGAUGUCGUAAGACCAAAGAUUUAUCGGCAAAGGAUGAGCCCGCGUAGGAUUAGGUAGUUGGUGGGGUAAAGGCCUACCAAGCCGACGAUCCUUAGCUGGUCUGAGAGGAUGAUCAGCCACACUGGGACUGAGACACGGCCCAGACUCCUACGGGAGGCAGCAGUGGGGAAUAUUGGACAAUGGGCGAAAGCCUGAUCCAGCAAUGCCGCGUGAGUGAUGAAGGCCUUCGGGUUGUAAAGCUCUUUUACCAGGGAUGAUAAUGACAGUACCUGGAGAAUAAGCUCCGGCUAACUCCGUG
rnacentral:rRNA from 1 species